CAGGGAGACAACAAAAUGUUUAAUAUUAUUAUUUUGUCACCUUAGGUCGAUCGGUAUCUCACGUUUUUAAUUUAUUAAAAAUUUCAUUUCCUAAGUUUUUCUAGGUCACACCCAUUAUUUUUCCUGGGCCAUUAGCUCAGGUGGUUAGAGCGCACCCCUGAUAAGGGUGAGGUCCCUGGUUCAAGUCCAGGAUGGCCCAUCUCUCUAUGUUGGGGGUAUAGCUCAGUUGGUAGAGCGCCUGCUUUGCAAGCAGGAUGUCAGCGGUUCGAGUCCGCUUACCUCCACUGAUUACCACCUCUUCCAUAAUCUGUAGAAAGGAAAUGUUUUGAGUUGUGAUCAAAUUCUGAACGAAUCUAGCUUCCUAAUGUAACCAUUAAGAUGCUGGACUCAUUGAAUUAAUUUCAUUGUUUUCAGAGAACCUUGACAACUGCAUAGAUUAUUUUUUUUAAAGACAAUAAGCAUCUUUUAUGAUGCAGAUUUAUUAUUUGUGCGAAUGCAUUAAUAACAAUUCUAUUAAGCUGAUGCUUCAAUUUUGAAGUUAUU
rnacentral:tRNA from 1 species